UUGAACGCUGGCGGCAGGCCUAACACCUGCAAGUCGAGCGGAUGAAGGGAGCUUGCUCCUGGAUUCAGCGGCGGACGGGUGAGUAAUGCCUAGGAAUCUGCCUGGUAGUGGGGGAUAACGUCCGGAAACGGGCGCUAAUACCGCAUACGUCCUGAGGGAGAAAGUGGGGGAUCUUCGGACCUCACGCUAUCAGAUGAGCCUAGGUCGGAUUAGCUAGUUGGUGGGGUAAAGGCCUACCAAGGCGACGAUCCGUAACUGGUCUGAGAGGAUGAUCAGUCACACUGGAACUGAGACACGGUCCAGACUCCUACGGGAGGCAGCAGUGGGGAAUAUUGGACAAUGGGCGAAAGCCUGAUCCAGCCAUGCCGCGUGUGUGAAGAAGGUCUUCGGAUUGUAAAGCACUUUAAGUUGGGAGGAAGGGCAGUAAGUUAAUACCUUGCUGUUUUGACGUUACCAACAGAAUAAGCACCGGCUAACUUCGUA
rnacentral:rRNA from 1 species